UGGGGAAUAUUGCACAAUGGGCGCAAGCCUGAUGCAGCCAUGCCGCGUGUGUGAAGAAGGCCUUCGGGUUGUAAAGCACUUUCAGCGGGGAGGAAGGCGAUAAGGUUAAUAACCUUGUCGAUUGACGUUACCCGCAGAAGAAGCACCGGCUAACUCCGUGCCAGCAGCCGCGGUAAUACGGAGGGUGCAAGCGUUAAUCGGAAUUACUGGGCGUAAAGCGCACGCAGGCGGUCUGUCAAGACGGAUGUGAAAUCCCCGGGCUCAACCUGGGAACUGCAUUCGAAACUGGCAGGCUAGAGUCUUGUAGAGGGGGGUAGAAUUCCAGGUGUAGCGGUGAAAUGCGUAGAGAUCUGGAGGAAUACCGGUGGCGAAGGCGGCCCCCUGGACAAAGACUGACGCUCAGGUGCGAAAGCGUGGGGAGCAAACAGG
rnacentral:rRNA from 1 species